UUACGGUCACAUCAUGUUGAAACACCGGUUUCCGUAAUCUCACCGAAGUUAAGCAACGUCGAGACAGGUCUGUACCUAAAUCGGGGACCGCAUGGGAAUACCAGGUGCCGUAAG